rnacentral:rRNA from 1 species
UCGAGGAUCUUCGGCAAUGGGCGCAAGCCUGACCGAGCGACGCCGCGUGCGGGAUGAAGGCCUUCGGGUUGUAAACCGCUGUCAGUGGGGAGGAAGGCCCUGUGAAGAGCAGGGUUUGACCUAUCCGCAGAGGAAGUGUGGGCUAAGUUCGUGCCAGCAGCCGCGGUAAGACGAACCACACAAACGUUAUUCGGAAUUACUGGGCUUAAAGGGUGCGUAGGCUGUGCAGAAAGUUAGGUGUGAAAUCCCCCGGCUCAACCGGGGAAUUGCGCUUAAAAACUACUGUGCUAGAGGAAUACAGAGGUGAGCGGAACUUCGGGUGGAGCGGUGAAAUGCGUUGAUAUCCGAAGGAACACCGGUGGCGAAAAGCGGCUCACUGGGUAUUUUCUGACGCUGAUGCACGAAAAGCUAGGGGAGCAAAACGGGAUUAGAUACCCCGGUAGUCCUAGCCGUAAACGAUGAGCACUGGGUUGAAGGGUCCUCCAUAGCCUUUCAGCCGC